CCCUUAGAUGUUCUGGGCCGCACGCGCGCUACACUGAUUCAUGCACUAAGUAUAUAACCUUGGUAGAAAUGCUUGGGUAAUCUUUGAAACUGAAUCGUGCUGGGGAUUGGAGCUUGUAAUUAUUCUCCAUGAACGAGGAAUUCCUAGUAAACGCGAGUCAUCAGCUCGCAUUGAUUACGUCCCUGCCCUUUGUACACACCGCCCGUCGCUCCUACCGAUUGAGUGGUCCGGUGAGGCUUUGGGAUCUGAGCGGAAAGAGCGUUUCGCUGUUUCUACUCGGAAAACUCAGUCGAACCUUAUCAUUUAGAGGAAGGAGAAGUCGUAACA
rnacentral:rRNA from 1 species